UUUCUUAGGGAAGAAUUCUGACGGUACCUAAGGAAUAAGCACCGGCUAACUCCGUGCCAGCAGCCGCGGUAAUACGGAGGGUGCAAGCGUUACUCGGAAUCACUGGGCGUAAAGGGCGCGUAGGCGGAUUAUCAAGUCUCUUGUGAAAUCUAAUGGCUUAACCAUUAAACUGCUUGGGAAACUGAUAGUCUAGAGUGAGGGAGAGGCAGAUGGAAUUGGUGGUGUAGGGGUAAAAUCCGUAGAUAUCACCAAGAAUACCCAUUGCGAAGGCGAUCUGCUGGAACUCAACUGACGCUAAGGCGCGAAAGCGUGGGGAGCAAACAGGAUUAGAUACCCUGGUAGUCCACGCCCUAAACGAUGUACACUAGUUGUUGGGGUGCUAGUCAUCUCAGUAAUGCAGCUAACGCAUUAAGUGUACCGCCUGGGGAGUACGGUCGCAAGAUUAAAACUCAAAGGAAUAGACGGGGACCCGCACAAGCGGUGGAGCAUGUGGUUUAAUUCGAAGAUACGCGAAGAACCUUACCUGGGCUUGAUAUCCUAAGAACCUUUUAGAGAUAAGAGGGUGCUAGCUUGCUAGAACUUAGAGACAGGUGCUGCACGGCUGUCGUCAGCUCGUGUCGUGAGAUGUUGGGUUAAGUCCCGCAACGAGCGCAACCCACGUAUUUAGUUGCUAACGGUUCGGCCGAGCACUCUAAAUAGACUGCCUUCGUAAGGAGGAGGAAGGUGUGGACGACGUCAAGUCAUCAUGGCCCUUAUGCCCAGGGCGACACACGUGCUACAAUGGCAUAUACAAUGAGACGCAAUACCGCGAGGUGGAGCAAAUCUAUAAAAUAUGUCCCAGUUCGGAUUGUUCUCUGCAACUCGAGAGCAUGAAGCCGGAAUCGCUAGUAAUCGUAGAUCAGCCAUGCUACGGUGAAUACGUUCCCGGGUCUUGUACUCACCGCCCGUCACACCAUGGGAGUUGAUUUCACUCGAAGCCGGAAUACUAAACUAGUUACCGUCCACAGUGGAAUCAGCGACUGGGGUGAAGUCGUAACAAGGUAACCGUAGGAGAACCUGCGGUUGGAUCACCUCCUUU
rnacentral:rRNA from 1 species